GUUCAAAAGAGGAAAGGCUUGCGGUGGAUACCUAGGCACCCAGAGACGAGGAAGAGCGUAGCAAGCGACGAAAUGCUUCGGGGAGUUGAAAAUAAGCAUAGAUCCGGAGAUUCCCAAAUAGGUCAACCUUUUAAACUGCCUGCUGAAUCCAUGAGCAGGCAAGAGACAACCUGGCGAACUGAAACAUCUUAG
rnacentral:ncRNA from 1 species